AUCUGGCUUUUGAGGACAGAAAUCCUCAGUGAUCCUGGCCUACACUUCCAGGCCCCUCAUAAGGCAAGAAUUCCAUAAGCUACUCUGCAAUGAAUAGGAUGCCUCAAGGUGCUCAGAUCCUGCACAGCUCCCAAGAACCUGGCAUCUCACCCUAAAAUCCAUCUGCUUAAUAAAGUUCAUUUCCUGACGACUGUUAACUGAGGAGCACUGGACAUAAGGCAUCACACACAGCUCCAGCCUCUUCAGGAGGAGUUAGCACCACAAACUUAAAUCUCUCUUUCCCCCGGAGGCCGGCCACACCCUCCUCACCUGGUAUCUGUCUGAGUGGUGCAGGUCCUCUGUGGCAGAAGAGUGUGGGGAAGCGGUUGGAGAGUCUCCUUCCCUCUUGAUGGAAGCAGACAACAGGAGGGACUGGAAGAAGAAAAGAACACAUGGCCCCAGACCAGGUUAGAAGCCCUGAGAGGCCCCAGGAUUACACCUGGGGCAAGCGGAAUAAAAAAAGGUCACUGGUGCUUUUUAAACAUGGACCAAAAAGCAGUAAAAUGUGUUUUGAAAAAAAAAAAUCCUGGCAUUAAAUCAUGACUUUUUGCCUGGC
rnacentral:lncRNA from 1 species